rnacentral:rRNA from 1 species
GAUGAACGCUGGCGGCGUGCCUAAUACAUGCAAGUCGAGCGAACAGACGAGGAGCUUGCUCCUCUGACGUUAGCGGCGGACGGGUGAGUAACACGUGGAUAACCUACCUAUAAGACUGGGAUAACUUCGGGAAACCGGAGCUAAUACCGGAUAAUAUAUUGAACCGCAUGGUUCAAUAGUGAAAGACGGUUUUGCUGUCACUUAUAGAUGGAUCCGCGCCGCAUUAGCUAGUUGGUAAGGUAACGGCUUACCAAGGCAACGAUGCGUAGCCGACCUGAGAGGGUAACCGGCCAACCUGGAACGAGGGCAGGUGCCAACCCCCAAGGGGGGGCGGGAGGAGGAAAUUUCCCGAAAUGGGCGAAAGCCGAAAGGGCAAACGCCGCGGGAGUAAAGAAGGUUUUCGGAUCGUAAAACUUUUUUAUUGGGAAAGAAAAAAUGUGAAGAAAACUAUCACCCUCUGGACGGUACCUAAACAAAAAGCCACGGCUAACUGCGU